rnacentral:rRNA from 1 species
UACAGAGGGUGCAAGCGUUGUCCGGAAUCACUGGGCGUAAAGGGCGCGUAGGCGGCCUUCUAAGUCGAACGUGAAAUCCCCGGGCUCAACCCGGGAACUGCGUCCGAUACUGGAAGGCUUGAAUCCGGGAGAGGGAUGCGGAAUUCCAGGUGUAGCGGUGAAAUGCGUAGAUAUCUGGAGGAACACCGGUGGCGAAGGCGGCAUCCUGGACCGGUAUUGACGCUGAGGCGCGAAAGCCAGGGGAGCAAACGGG